NNNNACAGCCAUAUCACCUGCAUGCAUGAAGACGGUUGCCCACUGAAGCUAAGCAGGGUUGAGCCUGGUUAGUACCUGGAUGGGAGACCUCCUGGGAAAACUAGGUUGCUGUUGGAA
rnacentral:rRNA from 1 species